rnacentral:misc_RNA from 1 species
AACGCACCUUGCACUCCUUGGUCUUCCGAGGAGUAUGCCUGUUUGAGUGUCAUGAAAUUAUCAACAUCAUAGUUUUGUUACUGUGAUGCUUGGACUUGGAGGUUGCAGGCCCUGCUGGCUCCUCUCAAAUUUAUUAGCUGCUUGUCUGUGGGUUGGCUCAGAGUGUGAUAAGUAUCUACACUUGGUGGCUGCCUGUCUAGAUGCGGCUUCUAAUUGUCUUUGGACAACUUUUAAGAUCUGACCUCAAAUCAGGUAGGACUACCCGCUGAACUUAA